UGAAAAGAAAACCCUAUCCCUUCUCCUUCCCCUUGUACGUAGCUUCAUUAAUUUUCCACUAAAUUUAUCUUCUCCUUCAUCCAUUCCCACACCCUUCACCUUCUCCUUCAUUCAUUCCGCACCCUUCUCCCAAAUCUCGUUCAGAAAAAUCCAAACUCAAAUGGUUUCGUCUAUUCCCUGGGAAUUUUUGUUGUUGCGGAGAAGCAUUUUUGUUAUCGCGGAUGUAGCUCGCUUGAAGGAUACGAUGGAGAAACUCUUCAAGUAAUUCAUUGCCGAUCUACUUCACAUCAUCUUUAUGCCUUUUGUGUAUUAUGUAAUAGGGUAAACAUAUUUGGGGCUUUUCUAAAUUGGGUCUUGCAUGGUUCUCAUAUGGACGGAAAAUGGGCU